UGCAAGAAGAGCUUUCUUUGCCUUCUGUCUAGGGCAGGGGCUGAGUUCACCAUACCAUCGUUCAUUUAUUCACCAGUCUUUUUUGAAUGUUUACUUCAUGACAGGUGUCACGAAGAGGUACAACAGGGAAGAGGGCAAUCAUGGUCCCUGCCUUUGUGGAUCUUACGGGAUCUUGGAGGCACAGAUAAUAAACACCGGAAUCUGAAAAUUAUCCUUUGAGGAAGGCUGAGCAAGGAUUAAUUCCCCUAUUUUACAGCAAACAGAACGUGAGCCCCCCAAGGACGGAGCAACUCCUGGACCCCACUGGAUCAACAAGGCUUGUUCUUCUGGAUCUCAGAUGCCAUGGCGCAUUCUUUCAAAGGACGGUUAUAGAAACAAGCAGAUCAUUUCCCCAAAAAGGCCCAUUCCCACGUUUACCGAUGGAAAAGUACAUCACUUAGGAGGUCCUGCUAUGAUCCUGCUAUGUUACCUAAGCUGGUCUCAAGCCAUCCUCCUGCCUCAGCCUCCCGAAGUGCCAAGAUUACAGGCAUGAGCCACUGCACACCCAGCAUGCCAUGUGACAUCUGAGGCUAGAUUAUAAGAAUGUCGUGAGCUUCCACCGGGCUUUCAUGGACAAGAUGCUAACUCUUGGAACUCAGCCACCAUGUUGUGAGGAAGUCCAAGUCAUCCCACAUGGAGAGGCAUGUGAAGGUGCUCUAGCUCACAGCCCAGCUGAGGUCCUGGCUGACAGCCUGCAUCAGCUGCCAGGCAUGAGUGAAGAUGCUUCCAGAUGAUUCUAGCUCCCUCUCAUCAGAUCACUCAACUUGGAUUCUUCCCAGCAGAGGCUCCAGAAAUCAUAGAGCAGAGAUCACCUCUUCCUGCUCUGCUUUGUCCAAGUUAUGGGCUGUAAAAUCUAUGAGCAUGAUAAUAUGAUUGUUUUACACCAGAAAGUUUUGGGGGUGGUUUGUGACAUAGCAACUGGUACAGAAAUUAUUUGCUAACAAGCAGGCAUCUCUCUCAAGGGGGAAAGUCUUAUGGUCAUUUUUGCGCCCUUUACUGGGGCAAAUAUGAUUGGUAGGGACGAUGCCCAUCAUAGCACCAUUGCUUCAUCAGAGGCCGUUUGGAUCAGUGAGCCCUUCCGUGUUCUUUAGUGACAAUAUGUUAAUAUAUUUUACUAGUCCAUUUCCUACUGACUAGAAUAUCAGUUCCCUGUGAUAAGUUUUCCCCCAUUUUGUUUGUUCCUAUAUCCCCAAAACCCAAACUAGUACAGUUGCUCCUCAACUUAUGAUGCGGUUACCUCCCAAUAAACCCACCACAAAGUUGAAAAAUCCUAAGUUGAACCAUCUUAAGUUGAGGACCAUUUGUGCUUGGUAAUUGCUCAAUAAAUAAUUGUCAGAUGAAUGGUUACAAAACAAACAUCAAGUGGGCAAACGCUUUGAUAAUGAUUCCUGGAGAGAAUUUUGCUAACAUUGCCAUGUUCUAGUUGUUAUGAUAAUGUGAAAUUACUUUCUGGAUAAGGACAAGUUCACAUUGUGGUGGGAAUUUCUGGAGAAUAAUAGUUAAAUGUUCCCACUUUUUCUUGAAACAGAGAACACAAAAGAAUCAUUAGGAAAGGUAUGAUGAGUAUUAGGGGCACGUCAGGUCCGUACUUAGGAGUUUGUUCAAGGAGUGAUUCGAGUCAACCUUCCUUUGUUGCCUGGCAUAUGCUGGCUAUCAUAGGGACCACAAAAAAGUGGAAGAUGUAGAUGCUGUCCUCAAACUGUGUUGAGUCCAGCUGGGGAGAGAUAAGAUUGGAAUCUAUAUACAGAUAGUCCAAUAAGGCAAGCUAGGUCCAGUGGUGAAACUGAUAGGGUUUCACCAGCUGAGGCCCCCAAGGGUGAGAGAAUGUCAAAGAAGACUUCCUGGAGGAGGCAAGUUAAAGGGAAUUAAUGGGUUGGGCAGGUGGGCAGCUUCCUGAUAUACUAAUCAGAGGAACACUGAAACCACAGGGAUCCAUCAGAAAUCUGCUGCCUGUUAACUCAGGUUUCCACCUGCAGAUUCUCACGUAGCUGGUGGAAAUGAAACUGACGUCCCUUUUGCCAAAAUAGACAAUGCCCCUAAGUAGAAAGAAAAGUUACUCCUCCCCAGCACCAGCCUACCUCUGUGUGGGUAUUUCUGCAAUGUGCAUUGCAAGUUGCUGCAUCCACUGGCCAGCCUGGCUGUGAGAUCAGCCAGCUGGCAGCCCCGGCAGUGGACAUGGCUGGGCAGCCUGAAUUCUGAAACCAAUUAAUGCACUGCAAAUAACUGUUUACCAAGAAGAUAUCUGCAAGCCUUAAAAAAUAUCUCCUAAAAAGUUGUCCACCUGUAGUCCCAGCUACUGGGGAGGCUGAGAUUGGAGGAUUGCUUGAGCCUACAAGUUUGAGGCUGUGGUGAGCUAUGAUUGCAUCACUGCACACCAGCCUGGGCAACCAAGUGAGACACUGUCGCUGUAACCGCAAACGCCUGAAAACAAGCAAUAAAUGUGUCUAGAAUAAGA